GACCAAGAGAUUAAGUUAUGUGUUUAGGUUAAAAAGAUAGUUAAACAAAAUAAUUAAUAUAAUAAUUUUUUAUUGAAAGGUAAAAUUUGAAUAUGAAAAAUUAAUUUUAUUUAUAUUUAAAUGUUGAAUCUAUGAUAAUUAUGAGGGAAACUGGGAUUAGAUACCCCAUUAUUCAUUAUUUUAAAUAGAACGUGAUUUACCUGAGUACUAUGAAUUUAAGAUUUAAAACUCAAAGGGCUUGGCGGUGUUUUAGACCUAUUAGGGGAACCUGUCUCGUAAUCGACAAUCCACGAUAUACCUGGCCUUUUUUUGUAUUCAGUUUGUAUACCGUCGUCGUCAGGUAACUUUUAAAAAUAAAGAAGUUGGCAUAAAUAAUAAUGUAAAUUAAGACGUCAGAUCAAGGUGCAGCUUAUAAAAAGGAGAGGAUGGGUUACAAUUAUAAAAUAGUAAAUAUGGAUAGUUUAAUGAAAAAAGCUUAAAGGCGGACUUAAAAGUAAUUAUGUAAUAUAUAAAUAUUUUGAAUUAGGCUCUGAAACGUGC
rnacentral:rRNA from 1 species